CAUCUCAUAUGAUCACUGAAGUUAAACAACGUUGAGCCUGGCCCGUACCUAGAUGGUUGACCACUUGGGAAUACCAGGUGCUGUAAG